rnacentral:rRNA from 1 species
GUAAGUACAGCAAUGUAUUGAGCUAACUGAUACUAAUGAUCCGUGCGGCUUGACCAUAUAACCUCA